GAUGAACGCUGGCGGCGUGCCUAAUACAUGCAAGUCGAGCGAACAGACGAGGAGCUUGCUCCUCUGACGUUAGCGGCGGACGGGUGAGUAACACGUGGAUAACCUACCUAUAAGACUGGGAUAACUUCGGGAAACCGGAGCUAAUACCGGAUAAUAUAUUGAACCGCAUGGUUCAAUAGUGAAAGACGGUUUUGCUGUCACUUAUAGAUGGAUCCGCGCCGCAUUAGCUAGUUGGUAAGGUAACGGCUUACCAAGGCAACGAUGCGUAGCCGACCUGAGAGGGGGGACCGCCACCCCGGGACCUGACCCCGGGCCCAGCCUCCUGGGGGGGCCGCCGGAGGGGAUUCUUCGCCAAGGGGCGAAGGCCGGACGGAGCACCGCGGCGGGAGUAAUGAGGGUCUUCGAAUCUAAAACCUCUUUAAUGAGGAAAAAACAAAUGUGAAAGUAACUAUGCACUUCUUGCCGUUCCCUAAUAAGAAGCCCCCGGCUACCUCCGUC
rnacentral:rRNA from 1 species